rnacentral:rRNA from 1 species
UCGGGAAUUUUGGGCAAUGGGCGAAAGCCUGACCCAGCAACGCCGCGUGAGGGAUGAAGUAUUUCGGUAUGUAAACCUCGAAAGAAUGGGAAGAAUAAAUGACGGUACCGUUUAUAAGCUCCGGCUAACUACGUGCCAGCAGCCGCGGUAAUACGUAGGGAGCAAGCGUUGUUCGGAUUUACUGGGCGUAAAGGGCGCGUAGGCGGCGCGGUAAGUCACUUGUGAAAUCUCUGAGCUUAACUCAGAACGGCCAAGUGAUACUGCUGUGCUAGAGUGCGGAAGAGGCAACCUGAAUUCUUGGUGUAGCGGUGAAAUGCGUAGACAUCAAGAGGAACACCUGAGGCGAAGGCGGGUUGCUGGGCCGACACUGACGCUGAUGCGCGAAAGCCAGGGGAGCAAACG